GCUAGAGCCGGGCCAGGAGGCGCGGUAAAACGUGGGGUGCAAGCGUUACUCGGAAAUACUGGGCGUAAAUCGCACGUAGUCGUUUUUCUAAGUCAGAUGUGAAAUCCCCGGGCUUAACCUGGGAACUGCACCUGAUACUGGAAGACUAGAAUGUGGGAGAGGAGAGUGGAAUUUCCGGUGUAGCGGUGAAAUGCAUAGAGAUCGGAAGGAACACCAGUGGCGAAGGCGGCUCUCUGGACCAACAUUGACGCUGAGGUGCGAAAGCGUGGGUAGCAAACAGGAUUAGAUACCCGAGUAGUC
rnacentral:rRNA from 1 species